rnacentral:lncRNA from 13 species
UGUGUUCUCAUUUUUCAUCACCCGCCUAUGAGUGAGAAUAUGCGGUGUUUCAUUUUCUGUUCUUGUGUCAGUUUGCUGAGGAUGAUGUUCUCCAGAUUCAUCCAUGUCCCUACAAACGACACAAACUCAUCAUUUCUGAUUGCUGCAUAAUAUUCCAUGGUGUAUAUGUGCCACAUUUUUCCAAUCCAGUCUAUUAUCAAUGGGCAUUUGGGUUGAUUCCAGGUCUUUGCUAUUGUAAACAGUGCUGCAAUGAACAUUCGUGUACAUGUGUCCUUAUAGUAGAACGAUUUAUAGUCCUUUGGAUAUAUACCCAGUAAUGGGAUUGCUGGGUCAAAUGGAAUUUCUAUUUCUAGAUCCUUGAGGAAUCGCCACACUGUCUUCCACAAUGGUUGAACUAAUUUACCCUCCCACCAACAGUGUAAAAGUGUUCCUUUAUCUCCACAUCCUCUCCAGCAUCUGUUGUCUCCAGAUUUUUUAAUGAUCGCCAUUCUAACUGGCGUGAGAUGGUAUCUCAAUGUGGUUUUGAUUUGCAUCUCUCUGAUGACCAGUGACGAUGAGAAUUUUUUCAAAUGAUUGUUGUAUUCUUGUGGGCUACACGUGACAAGAUCUCUUACUGUUCCACCUCCCACUUCCUCAGGAUAACAUUAACUGUAGAAUUAAAUUCUCACAAAUUGAAUAUGCAAGAAAAACACCUAGGGAUCCUUCUUGUUAAAAUGCAGAUUUGGAUUCACGAGGUCUCUGGAGAGACCUGAAACUCUACAUAUCUGACAAGUGCUCUGUGACACCCAUGCUACGGGCCCGCAGAUCACAGCUUGGGUAGCAAGACUCCAAGGUAUGUCCUAGGUUACCUUAUAAAUCAUCCAUUAUUGCUCUUCUCCCAUCUCUUUUGCCCAUCAAGUUAGAAUAAUCAGAUUCUUUUUAUUUGUUUAUUUAUGUAUUCCAUACUAUCGCUAGCCAUAUUUGAAAUACAAAUGGACCCAAGGAAACCUCAUGGCUGACUUGGACAUUUUUAGCUGUUUAUCUUUGAGAAAAGUUAUCUUCUAAAAGAAAAACAGCAAAUAAAAACAAACUCACAACUCUGUGUCA